ACGACUACAGGUGAAUCAUCGAAUCUUUGAACGCACCUUGCACUUUAGGAGUCAAUCCUAAAGUAUACCUGUUUGAGUAUCAUUUACAAUUAUCCAAUUUUAUUGGGAUUUGAGAGUUCCGGGAGUACGCUGCCUGUCUCUUUGAAUGUAGUAGGAUCUGAGGAUAAGCGCGCUUAUUCUUGAUUGAGGUUAUUUACUCUUUGUAGUAAAGCAAUCAUGAAGGAAUAUUUGAAAGCGAUAUCCAUUUUCAAUCAGACCCUUUAAUCGUUAGACACACAUCUGGUAACAGAAAAAGUCAACAUCUGAACAAUUGUGAUCUCAAAUCAGGCAAGACUACCCGCUGAACUUAAGCAUAUCAAUAAGCGGAGG
rnacentral:rRNA from 1 species